GAUCAUGGCUCAGGAUGAACGCUAGCUACAGGCUUAACACAUGCAAGUCGAGGGGCAGCAUUUCAGUUUGCUUGCAAACUGGAGAUGGCGACCGGCGCACGGGUGAGUAACACGUAUCCAACCUGCCGAUAACUCGGGGAUAGCCUUUCGAAGAAAGAUAAUACCGAUGGUAUAAUUAGACCGCAUGGUCUUGUUAUUAAAGAAUUUCGGUUAUCGAUGGGGAGUGCGUUACAUUAGCG
rnacentral:rRNA from 1 species